UCCCUGCCACAAAUGCAGCCACAAAUGAACUAGAAACCCACGUACGAAACAUCAUUGCAUCUCCCAACUUUUCUCCCGAAGCGUUAGCCCUGUUCGGCCCCUUGGUCUUUCGCCUCUUCCUCCACCUUCCACCCAUGGUUCCCUUCAUCUCCCCCAAUCAAUAAAUCUCUACUGCAGUCCUUCCGGUUCUUCCCUUCUUCCCUCUAUUUAUGGAUCCCUCCAUCUUGCUUUUGUUGCCGACCUAAACCGCAAGAUGCAAGAUGGUUGCCGGUGCGGACAAGAUUGGCCUAUGCGUACACCUCGCCGUUUGCCCAACCGCAGUGAACCAUGCUUGCCACCCCUGACGUCCUCCCCAGCAUCACCUGCGCUAGAGAAUUGAUGAGAAGGGCGAGAGCGACGGCUGCAAGGUUUACUUCUUUGGCGGCACUGAUGGAGGUCCAGAUCCCAAUCCAAGUAGCGCCUCCGUCGCCCAAGGUAGGAGCAGGAAGAUGAGGUCGCCUCAUCGUUUCUUCGUCUAGAUCUCCACGUCCGUGUAGUUUUCCUGGAGGCCUGGAUAUUGCGUGAUGUGCAGGACGAUUAGUGAUGCAUAUGUGCUUUGCGUUCCUGGUGUGUACUCCCUCCGUUCGGAAUUACUUGUCUCAGAAAUGGAUGUAUCUAGAACUAAAAUACAUCUAGAUACAUCCAUUUUCGCGACAAGUAAUUCCGAACGGAGGGAGUAUAUAACUGCAUAUGCACAUUAUUUUUUUCAUCUUUUUGCAAUUUCUUUUCAGACUUUAGUGAUUGGUUUGUGGCCUGAGCUUAUGUACAGAUUCUGAAGUGUAUAUAUGUGUUGCUGCCA